rnacentral:pre_miRNA from 1 species
AAUAACUUCAUUUUUCAGUUUUCUGUUACAUUGUUUUGACUCUUCGUCUUUUUUGAUAUCUUUUACGAUUAAUAUUUUUAUUGUUACUAGAUAAUAAAAAAUAAAUAGUACUUUAUGCGUGAAUAAUUUUUUAAAUUUUUUAUACAAAUUUUUUAAAUAAGACGAAUGGUUAAGCGUUAGACACGAAAAAACA